rnacentral:rRNA from 1 species
AUUGAACGCUGGCGGCAGGCUUAACACAUGCAAGUCGAACGAGCGGAGGACGGGUGAGUCAUGUCUGGGAAACUGCCCGUUGGAGGGGGAUAACUACUGGCAACAGUAUCUAAUACCUCAUACCAUCGACUGUACCCAUAUGGGAUUAGCUAGUAGGUGAGGUAAAGGCUAACCCAGACGACGAGCCCUAGCUGGUCGUAGAGGAUGACCAGCCACAAGGGAACUGAGACACGGGCCAGACUCCUACGGUAGGCAGCAGUGGGGAAUAUUGCACAAUGGGCGCAAGCCUGAUGCAGCCAUGCCGCGUGUAUGAAGAAGGCCCUCGGGUUGUAAAGUACUUUCAGCCGGGAGGCGUUACCCGCAGAAGAAGCACCGGCUAACUCCGUGCCAGCAGCGGCGGUAAUAC